UAGGGAAUCUUCCACAAUGGACGCAAGUCUGAUGGAGCAACGCCGCGUGAGUGAAGAAGGUUUUCGGAUCGUAAAGCUCUGUUGUUGGUGAAGAAGGAUAGAGGCAGUAACUGGUCUUUAUUUGACGGUAAUCAACCAGAAAGUCACGGCUAACUACGUGCCAGCAGCCGCGGUAAUACGUAGGUGGCAAGCGUUGUCCGGAUUUAUUGGGCGUAAAGCGAGCGCAGGCGGAAUGAUAAGUCUGAUGUGAAAGCCCACGGCUCAACCGUGGAACUGCAUCGGAAACUGUCAUUCUUGAGUGCAGAAGAGGAGAAUGGAAUUCCAUGUGUAGCGGUGGAAUGCGUAGAUAUAUGGAAGAACACCAGUGGCUAAGGCGGCUCUCUGGUCUGCAACUGACGCUGAGGCUCGAAAGCAUGGGUAGCGAACAGG
rnacentral:rRNA from 1 species